GCAGCCGCGGUAAUUCCAGCUCCAAUAGCGUAUAUUAAAGUUGUUGCAGUUAAAAAGCUCGUAGUUGAAUUUCGGGAUCAAUAUAUCGGUCGUGCUUCGGUAUGUACUGGUAUUAUUGAUUUCUCCCUUCUGACGAACUAUGAUGUCAUUAAUUUGGUGUUAUGGGGAAUCAGGACUGUUACUUUGAAAAAAUUAGAGUGUUUAAAGCAGGCACACGCUUGAAUACAUUAGCAUGGAAUAAUGAAAUAGGACGUUUGAUCUUAUUUUGUUGGUUUCUAGGAUCGACGUAAUGAUUAAUAGGGAUAGUUGGG
rnacentral:rRNA from 1 species